rnacentral:rRNA from 1 species
CAAGUCGAACGAAGCACUUUGAUCGAUUUCUUCGGAUUGAAAUUUUAGUGACUGAGUGGCGGACGGGUGAGUAACGCGUGGGUAACCUGCCUCACACAGGGGGAUAACAGUUGGAAACGGCUGCUAAUACCGCAUAAGCGCACAGUAUCGCAUGGUACAGUGUGAAAAACUCCGGUGGUGUGAGAUGGACCCGCGUCUGAUUAGCUAGUUGGCAGGGCAACGGCCUACCAAGGCGACGAUCAGUAGCCGACCUGAGAGGGUGACCGGCCACAUUGGGACUGAGACACGGCCCAAACUCCUACGGGAGGCAGCAGUGGGGAAUAUUGCACAAUGGGGGAAACCCUGAUGCAGCGACGCCGCGUGAGCGAAGAAGUAUUUCGGUAUGUAAAGCUCUAUCAGCAGGGAAGAAGAAAUGACGGUACCUGACUAAGAAGCACCGGCUAAAUACGUGCCAGCAGCCGCGGUAAUACGUAUGGUGCAAGCGUUAUCCGGAUUUACUGGGUGUAAAGGGAGCGCAGGCGGAAGGCUAAGUCUGAUGUGAAAGCCCCGGGGCUCAACCCCGGUACUGCAUUGGAAACUGGUCAUCUUUAGUGCCGGAGGGGUAAGUCGGAAUUCCUAGUGCAGCGCUGAAAUGCGUAGAUAUUAGGAGGAACACCAGUGGCGAAGGCGGCUCACUGGACGAUAACUGACGCUGAGGCUCGAAAGCGUGGGGAGCAAACAGGAUUAGAUACCCUGGUAGUCCACGCCGUAAACGAUGGAUACUAGGUGUAGGGGAUGAAUAAUCUUCUGUGCCGUCGCAAACGCAGUAAGUAUCCCACCUGGGGAGUACGGCCGCAAGGUUGAAACUCAAAGGAAUUGACGGGGGCCCGCACAAGCAGUGGAGUAUGUGGUUUAAUUCGACGCAACGCGAAGAACCUUACCAGGGCUUGACAUAUACAUGAAAAUCUAAGAGAUUAGAUCCCUCUUCGGAGCAUGUAUACAGGUGGUGCAUGGUUGUCGUCAGCUCGUGUCGUGAGAUGUUGGGUUAAGUCCCGCAACGAGCGCAACCCUUAUCCCCAGUAGCCAGCGGUUCGGCCGGGCACUCUGAGGAGACUGCCAGGGAUAACCUGGAGGAAGGUGGGGAUGACGUCAAAUCAUCAUGCCCCUUAUGACUUGGGCUACACACGUGCUACAAUAGCGUAAACAAAGGGAAGCGAGACCGUGAGGUGGAGCAAAUCCCAAAAAUAACGUCUCAGUUCGGACUGUAGUCUGCAACCCGACUACACGAAGCUGGAAUCGCUAGUAAUCGCAGAUCAGAAUGCUGCGGUGAAUACGUUCCCGGGUCUUGUACACACCGCCCGUCACACCAUGGGAGUUGGAAAUGCCCGAAGUCAGUGACCCAACCGCAAGGAGGGAGCUGCCGAAGGCAGGUUCGAUAACUGGGGUGAAGUC